rnacentral:rRNA from 1 species
GACGAACGCUGGCGGCGUGCCUAAUACAUGCAAGUUGAGCGCUGAAGGUUGGUACUUGUACCAACUGGAUGAGCAGCGAACGGGUGAGUAACGCGUGGGGAAUCUGCCUUUGAGCGGGGGACGACAUUUGGAAACGAAUGCUAAUACCGCAUAAAAACUUUAAACACAAGUUUUAAGUUUGAAAGAUGCAGUUGCAUCACUCAAAGAUGAUCCCGCGUUGUAUUAGCUAGUUGGUGAGGUAAAGGCUCACCAAGGCGAUGAUACAUAGCCGACCUGAGAGGGUGAUCGGCCACAUUGGGACUGAGACACGGCCCAAACUCCUACGGGAGGCAGCAGUAGGGAAUCUUCGGCAAUGGACGAAAGUCUGACCGAGCAACGCCGCGUGAGUGAAGAAGGUUUUCGGAUCGUAAAACUCUGUUGGUAGAGAAGAACGUUGGUGAGAGUGGAAAGCUCAUCAAGUGACGGUAACUACCCAGAAAGGGACGGCUAACUACGUG